CAGGGAUGGGUGCCAGCGCAGCAGGAGGGCCCAGAACUGACGGUGACACACCUGCAAAGGACAUGGCCUCAGGCAAGGCUUUGGAAAUGACACCUAGAACAGCCAGGUAAUCGGAGAAGUGCCCUCUGUGGCCCCUCCGCGGAAGAGUGCCAUCGGAGGGACGGCGCUGGAUCUCUUAUCAGCACAGCCUUCCAGGAUCACCUGAAACAAAAUAGCACCCUCAGUCCUGGCAACCCAUAGGAGCCUCCUGUUUCACUUCCCUGUUCUGCCUCUAUGGCCAUCUGAUGUACUGUCUGCUUGUUUGCUGCUCGUCCCCCACUACUGGAAGACAAAGCGCCACGAGGGGUGAGCACACGGUUCCAGCUGGAACCUCAGAACACGAAGCAGGGCCCUCCCAGAUGGUGGAUGCCCAAGCUUGCCAAAGCCUGACACCAAGACCUCUGAGAGACACCCAGCGUGGAUACUGACUGAGACUUCUCCAACCUGAUGUCUCUGGGCUACAAGCUGAGUUUGAGCAUUCCUCAUUGAUGUGGUGACUUCUGUCUGCCAAGAGAGUUGCCAGAGUCUUCUUCCAUGGAAACUUAGGGCCUGGGUUCUGCCUGGUGAAACUAUUAGUUUGUCGGGGGCAUUCGUUGGCUUUCUACCCGACUUAUCAGGAGAUCUGAAGUGAAAUAAACCAGAUUAU